AGCACUCAAUGAAAUCCCAUCUUUAAUUGGACAAAUGAAGUGUCCUCCUCUGGGUUUCCCCAGUGCUCAAGAAAACAGUGUAUGAGAAAUGUAGCCAGCGUGUCCACCCACAGCAUGAGCUCUUGUGUGCCUCUUCCUUAGAAUGGCCGCCCAGGCAGUAGGACCACAGCCCCCAGCACAGGAGAACCCUUCAUCCAGGUGUUCAAUGCCUCAAUAGUUUUCCACUGUCAUGUAAUCAUAAGUUGAUUCUGUUUUAAUUUUCAAAGCACUUUUUCAAAUAGAUAUCAAGUCACUAUUAGCACAGAUUUUAUAACAUUUUAAAAUGUAUUUAAAUAAUUAUAAUUAUUUCCCAUCACAAAAUAUUAAAUUGCAUUCUUACUAGAUAUCAAUUAAAAAAUCUAUGCACUCAACAUUUUCUUGUUUCUUCAUUACUUGUUUAUCUCCCUUAAAAAAACUAUCAGGCCAGGAGUGGUGGCUCAUCCCUGUAAUCCCAGAACUUUGGGAGGCCAAGGCGGGUGGAUUACCUGAGGUCAGGAGUUCGAGACCAGCCUGGCCGAUAUGGUGAAACCCUGUCUCUACUAAAAAUACAAAAAUUAGCCGGGUGUAGUGGCACACGCCUGUAAUUCCAGCUACUUGGGAGGCACGAGAAUUGCUUGAACCCAGGCGGCGGGGGUUGCAGAGAGCCAAGAUCAUGCCUUGGCACUCCAGCCUGGGCAACAGACCAAGACUCCAUCUCAAAAAAGAAAAAAAAAAGUAUAUAUAUUACUCAUUAGCCAAUUAAAUUUUUUUUCUAGCAUAAAGUGUGCCCAAGGCUGUCAGGUUAUAGUUUUGUUUUAUACAUUUUAGGGAGACAGAAGUUACAGGCAAAAACAUAAGUCAAUGCAUAUAAGGUGUACAUUGGAGAUGUCCCGGAAAGGUGGGACAUCUCAAAGCAAGUGCUUACAGGUCACAGGUGGAUUCAAAGAUUUUCUGAUUGGCAAUUUGUUGAAAGAGUUCAGCUUUGUCUAAAGAUUCGAAGUCAGUUGAAAGACAUGCUUGAGUUCAGAUAAGGGGGGUUGUGGAGGCCAAGGUUUUGUUAUAUAGAUGAAGUCUCCAUAUAACAAUCUUUAGAGGGAAUAGAUGACAAAUAUCUCUUUUCAGAACUUAAAAGGUGUCAGAAAGUUAGUUAAUCUUUCCUAGGUCCAGGAAAGUCCUGACUGUAUUAACAGAGAUUCUCUACAGAUGUAAAUUUCCCCCACAAAAGCUGGCUUUGCAGGGCCAUUUAAAAAUAUGGCAGAGAAAUAUAUUUUGGGGUAAAAUAUUUUGAUUUCCUUCAGGAUCGGCUGUCAUGUGAUGCUAUGUUUGAGUCAGGUUGGAAUCUGGUUAUCUUCUUGCCACAAAGAGUCUAUUCUGUCAAUCUUAUGAUCUCUAUUUUAAUCUUAAUGCUGGUCAGUCUUGCCUAAACUCCAAAAGGGAAGGGGCAUAAUGAGGCAUGUCUGACCUCCCUUCCCAUCAUGGCCUGAAAUUUAGUUUUAUAGGUUUCUUUGGGAUCCCCCCCUGGCCAAGAGGGGGUGUGUUCAGUUGGUUGGGGGGCAUAGGAUAUUAUUUUCAAUUUAUAAAUUAAAACUGUGUUUUUCUUAAAGUCCUUAAAAUCAAAGCUAGACAACUUUAAUAAACUUUGAGAGAAAUAACAUCAACUUAUAUAUAAACAGACUUCAUGCCUGCUGAGGUAUGCAGUACUCAGAAAGUUCACUUGAAUACCUAAUUCAAACUACAAUUCAAAAAAAAAAAUCUGUCUGAUUGUCAUAGCAAUCUGAAGAUGCUUCAGAGACCAGAAAAACUAUGGUACAAGCUACUAUAGACAUGGCCCUUUGUUUUUCUUCUGUUUCCAUACAAAUAUCUCUUAUUAAAUAUCUGCUUGCCUGGAUCAGAUAUAGAGGCCUAGCCCAUCUGCAAUGCCACCUCCUGGAAUGGGACACAGCUGUUUAACUGAACUGAUCUAUUCUCAGGACUGAGAGACCGACUAAAGAAGAAAUGGGACGUUAUAUUUAAAUUUGCUCUUUUCUGCUUAUCCCAAUUUGUCUUUUCACUCUUUUGCCUAUCUCUAUCUAACAACCUCUAACCCAAAACUCUCCAAAGCUAUCAGCGUUGGCUCUUAAUAUGUAAAGUUUUUUUAAGUUUCAAAGUAGGAACUGGAGGAAAUAAAAAUAUUUUAUCUCCAAAUAUAUUUCUUUGACAUAU
rnacentral:lncRNA from 1 species